rnacentral:rRNA from 1 species
GCUCAGAUUGAACGCUAGCGGGAUGCCUUACACAUGCAAGUCGAACGGCAGCACGGACUUCGGUCUGGUGGCGAGUGGCGAACGGGUGAGUAAUGUAUCGGAACGUGCCUAGUAGCGGGGGAUAACUACGCGAAAGCGUAGCUAAUACCGCAUACGCCCUACGGGGGAAAGCAGGGGAUCGUAAGACCUUGCACUAUUAGAGCGGCCGAUAUCGGAUUAGCUAGUUGGUGGGGUAAUGGCUCACCAAGGCGACGAUCCGUAGCUGGUUUGAGAGGACGACCAGCCACACUGGGACUGAGACACGGCCCAGACUCCUACGGGAGGCAGCAGUGGGGAAUUUUGGACAAUGGGGGAAACCCUGAUCCAGCCAUCCCGCGUGUGCGAUGAAGGCCUUCGGGUUGUAAAGCACUUUUGGCAGGAAAGAAACGCCGCGGGUUAAUACCCUGCGGAACUGACGGUACCUGCAGAAUAAGCACCGGCUAACUACGUGCCAGCAGCCGCGGUAAUACGUAGGGUGCAAGCGUUAAUCGGAAUUACUGGGCGUAAAGCGUGCGCAGGCGGUUCGGAAAGAAAGAUGUGAAAUCCCAGAGCUUAACUUUGGAACUGCAUUUUUAACUACCGAGCUAGAGUGUGUCAGGAGGGAAGGUGGAAAUUCCGCGUGUAGCAGUGAAAUGCGUAGAUAUGCGGAGGAACCACCGAUGGCGAAGGCAGCCUCCUGGGAUAA